ACGGUCCUAAGGUAGCGAAAUUCCUUGUCGGGUAAGUUCCGACCCGCACGAAAGGUGUAACGAUUUGGGCACUGUCUCAACGAGGGACCCGGUGAAAUUGAAAUACCUGUGAAGAUGCAGGUUACCCGCGACUGGACAGAAAGACCCCAUGGAGCUUUACUGUAACCUGACAUUGGGUUUUGAUACAUUACGUACAGGAUAGGUGGGAGGCAUGGAAAGCUGGACGCUAGUCUGGCUGGAGCCGACGUUGGGAUACCACCCUUGAUGUAUUGAAAUUCUAACCGCGAGAGUAACGAAAUCCGGGACAGUGUCAGGCGGGCAGUUUGACUGGGGCGGUCGCCUCCGAAAGAGUAACGGAGGCGCCCAAAGGUUCCCUCAGCGCGGCCGGAAAUCGCGCGAAGAGUGUAAAGGCAGAAGGGAGCUUGACUGCGAGUCAAACACGACGAGCAGGUACGAAAGUAGGGCUUAGUGAUCCGGUGGUACCGAGUGGAAGGGCCAUCGCUCAACGGAUAAAAGCUACCCUGGGGAUAACAGGCUAAUCUCUCCCAAGAGUCCAUAUCGACGGGGAGGUUUGGCACCUCGAUGUCGGCUCAUCACAUCCUGGGGCUGAAGUAGGUCCCAAGGGUAUGGCUGUUCGCCAUUUAAAGAGGUACGUGAGCUGGGUUUAAAACGUCGUGAGACAGUUUGGUCCCUAUCUGCCGUGGGCGUUGGAAGAUUGACGGGGGCUGCUCCUAGUACGAGAGGACCGGAGUGGACGCACCUCUGGUGUACCGGUUGUCACGCCAGUGGCAUUGCCGGGUAGCUAAGUGCGGAAGAGAUAACCGCUGAAAGCAUCUAAGCGGGAAACUUGCCUGAAGAUGAGUCUUCCCGGAGGUUGAACCUCCCUCAAGAGUCGUCCGAGACCAGGACGUCGAUAGGUCAGGUGUGUAAGCGCUGUAAGGCGUUGAGCUAACUGAUACUAAUUGCUCGUGAGGCUUGAUCCU
rnacentral:rRNA from 1 species